GAAAGAGCACCCUAUAAGGAAGAAGAAAGUAUUGCCUCGGGUCCUCCCGCAUCAGCUGACCCCCCACCUUCCAAAUUCAAUGGUGCACGUUCACUCCAGCUACCGGCUGAUAAUGACCUUGGUACAUCCAGUUCUGAAAAUCCCUUGGAUGUUAAAGACAUGAGGCAAACUGAAGAGGCUUGUGGUCCCGAUAACACAGAGGACAUCGCGGAGGGGUUGCUUUGUUCUGAUUCAAGUACUAUUCCCGAUAAACAAGAUGUGUGUGGCCACAGGACAGUGCAUUCCAAACUGUCAAGGUUAAUGGAUGGUGCCUUAGACACUAAUGGCCCUAAUGAAGGAGGCUUAAACUCUAGUCAUCAAAAUCCCAAAGUGCAGAAAUACAUCAGCCUUAGCCUACCGCUGAUGGAGGCAGCCUCAUCCACUUCCCCAGGUGACAGGGCCACGAGCAAGAAUCCAGUCAGCCGCCCGGCCUCCCGCAGAGGCUUUGACAGUGAUUAUGAACUUUGCUCAGAGAUAUCCCUCACCUGCACCGAGGAGUUUUCGGACAAUGACCUGGAGUAUCUGGAAUGUUCCGACGUCAUGACAGAUCACUCUAAUGCAAUUUGGCAAAGGGACCUGCAGGGGACUGAGCGUGUUUUUUUAUUAGAAAGCGAUGACGAAGAGAUGGAAUUCGGUGAGUGUUGCCCGGGUGGGUGUGAGAAUUUCCUCAGUGAAAUGGGUUGUGAGCCUCUGGUGGCGGAUGACACCGGGCCUAUGGAUGCCACUGCUGGCCUCUGUGGUUACCGCUUACCAUCCCAAGGAGGGGAGGUAAGGAGCAGCCUAGCCUCCGUGCACAGUGCCUCAUCCCCGCAAACAGGGGUGACCCUGCCGGUGGGACCUCACCAGGAUGGAACGUCUGUGGUGACAGACAAGGGGAGAGAUAAACCACCCACUGCUCCUGAAGCUGCUGAAGAUGGUUAUCCAGGAACUCAAGGGGAAACCAGAGACGGCCACCAGGCAGGAAAGGAAUUUGCCAGUGACAAUCUGCUAAACAUGGAUAAAGCAGUAACAGAGAGAGAGAGGAAGCACUUAUAUGGUGAGUUAGGAAAAUCAGGAAUGAACCAGUGUUUGGAGACUGUGGCUGAGAAAAGAUUAGGGGGGAAAGACUUAUUGAGCCGGAGAGGCUCCGAGAAACCUGCCAGGGCGAGGCGACCGGGGAUUAAGGGAAAAGCCAAGAAGCUGAACCCCAACCUGGAAGAAAGGGCAACAGAAGCCUCCUUGAAUCGCCUGUAUCCCAGGGGACCUGUUAAGCACCCACUGACCCCAAGUGACAGAAGAGAGAGUUCCCAUGCCAAAGCAGAAGCGACUGAUUUGAAUUCCCAUGCAGGAGGCUGUGCUAUUCCAGCACAAGCAGAGCAAGAAGCAAAAAUCCUGCAGACUCCACCAGGCUCACUCUCCAAAGAAGGGAACUUGGACUUGCAGGGAGAAGGGGUGUGGGUUAAAAACGUACUUGAAACAAGCAGCGUUCCAGACUGGAGAGAUCAUCCUCAGGUGCAAAUUCAGGAAACAGUCAGGGAGCAGAUCUCUCUCAGCCGAAUGCCAGCUUUCUCAGAGCCUACUGGGGAGGAGUCUGCAUUUACUAUGACCACAAUAGAUUCCUUCUCCAAUUUAGGAGGGAUUGACACGAAAAAUGCAUCGGCCCAACACCUGGAGGUAGAAAGGUGUACCCAAGGCUCACGGCACGAAGAAAACCAAGAUGGAGAAGACAGCACCCCUGGAUGUCCCAGGGGAGACCUAGGGUGUGAGCUGAGCAUCCUAGAAGCCAAUAGCGAAAAUAUGCCCCCCUGUGAGCCGUCGGCACCUCUCCCCCAGGAGAACAGCGCUGACCCCGGGGAGACCCGAGCUCCCUCUCUUGCUUCCCCUGAACUUGUACAUACCGUCCCCACCUUGGAAACUGCGUGUGCUGGGCCAAGAGACAGAGUGACAGCGUGUUUCCUGGGCCGUCCUGAGGCAGGUGACCAAGAAGCAUGUGAUACUGUGAGCUCUCCUGUUGGAGCCCCAGCUGGUAAAUAUUUGCCUCAAGAAAUGUGCUCCAUGGACUUCGAGCUGGCAGGUCAAAGCAAAGUGUCUGAUUUGUGUUCUUCUGAUGACAAGGCGCUGAAUGUUCUUUCUCAAACACAAGGUUCUGAGCUUCCACAGUCUACAUACGGAAGCAGCAGUGAGAGAACCUCUGCCGUGUUCCCUCUUUUUAUCAGUACUCUCACCUGGAACAUUUCACAGAAAGCCAGUAGAGGUGCCGCUGGGGAAAAUGUCUCCAAGGUGGAGGGUUCCACCUCCACGUUGGCCUCCAUGGUAAAGGCUGGUCAGGAGAGGCUGAGCCCCAGUCACUCAGGUGGGCUCGAGGAAAGACAGCCUCUGUCUUCUGAGAAUGACUCUUUGGAACGGUCUAAAGAAGGUGGUGAUGAGAGCUCUAGCUCCGGUGCCCUGGUCACUGCAGACACACCAGCCAGUCAUAGUUCAACAGCGAAGUUUCCUCAGGAGAAGCCAACAACAUUAAUUGCUAACCUUGAGUGUUUUGAGGUGACUGGGGAGAGUGAGGACACAUCCACUGUUACCAUUGCCACCAAAGGCCACCCACCCAAAUACCUCCCUGUUUCAGUUGCUGGGAGCAGCCAUGUAGGUGGCCCUGACGAGAGCUUAUCUCGGGCACCAGAUGACAAUAUGUCUCGACUUCCUUCCAAUGCACAGUUGGGUCAUAUUUUAAAUGGUUCUACAACUGAAUCUUCAAAAGGGCUAGCGUGUGUGGCUCCCAGUGGACCAGGAAUCCACGUCCACGUUCCUCAGCUCCCAGAGGGAGAGGAUUUCGGUAGCAAUUCCCCUCUUCAGAUUGAUAACCAGUCUGGAAAAAAGAGCCAGACCGUGCACAGAGCAGACACUAGGAGCCUUGAAGAGAAUUUCCAAGAAAAAGGAAGUGAAACAACACAGAGGGUCCAGCAGGUUUCUCUUGGUGAAAACUUCCAAGAGAGCUUGCCCACGACCUCUGCUGUACAAGGGGAAAUAAACCUGGUACUCUCGGACCACUCACCGGCCAACUCCAGGGAGGGGCGAGAACAGAGCUCGGGCCUGGGGACUCGUGUGCCCAUGGGGGCUGAAUCUACGAUGGAAGAUGAUAGUCAGGCUCUGAGUAAUGUUCCUUCUCUCUCUAAUACCCUUCGGGGGGAGUCUAAAGAGAGCGGGCCAGGAUAUGGGGAAGCAGGUAAAAAGCUGAAGAUUAUAACUCUAGAGGCUUCCAUUUCAGAAACCUGGCCACCAAGACAACUGACAGAUUCUAAGUGCAAGGAGUCAGAACCUAGUCUCAUCCCUGGCAGGGUCUGGGCUGUAUCUGACGUUCUAAAGGCUGAUGCGGCCGUGCCUGAACCGGGCCCCUCUGAGGCAGCGUCAGCCUGUAGUCCUCGGGCUGAGUCUGGCUCAGCAAUUGCUAAUAACAGAGAAAUCCAUAAAGGUGAAGACCUAGCUGGCCAUGCAAACUGGAGUUGUCUUUCCUCCCAGUGUCUGAGCCAACCCAGACUCCUGGAGUCCUCUGUGGACCCUGUAGAUGAAAAAGAAUUAUGUGUCACAGACUUGCUAUCAGAGGCUUCCAGAACUGGAAGGAAGGAAAAUGUUAACAGUGUAAGUCAAAACCAAGAGGAAAGCCAACUCAAGAUGGAUCGCCCUGCCUUCUUUAAACAGUUCCUGACCUGCCCUAAAAUCUUAGAGUCCUCUGUAGAUCCCACUGAUGAAACAAGCGUGGAGUGGGCCAGGGUGGAAACACCAGAGCCUUCUGAAUCCACACUGGGGGCCAUCAGAGUGGAGAGUAAGUUGAAUGAUGGAAACCUGGGCCAGAGAGUAGAUGUCCAACCAUCCAUCUUGCAAGUUCCGUGCCCCCGGCAAAGUGGGGAAGCCAUUCCAAGUGAAAACAGCAUCAGCCGAGACCAAGGGCACGGUGGGGGAGAGGGGGCAAGGCAAAGUCAACAUGACAAAGCAAAGGGGGACGUACAGUCUGCCAUUUUGCCUGUCCUGUGUCCUGUCAAAGGUGGGGAAACGAUUCCAAGGGGACGUGGCAGAAGCCAAAUACAAGAAGGCAGUGAGAGGCUCUUAGCGGAGUCUGAACAAAAUAAUAAUAACAAAGCAGAAUUAGUUUCCCCCACUUUACCUCUUUCUAGCGGUCUUGCAAGAAUGACUCCCACCUCUGGAGUUGAUACUCACAGCUCCCCAAGUCAAAGUCAUGACCUCCCUGAGAAUGAUUUAGUGGAGCCCAGAAACCAUCAAUGUGCGUUUUCUGACUCAAAGGAAGGGGGAGCUAGUGAGAGUGAGUGUGGGAAACAUGUGGCCCCUUCUAGUGGUCUCACUUGGGGGCCUUUUACUUCAUCUCUUGAAGGAAGCAUCACAGGCUUUUCAAGAAGCCACAAAAUUGAGGAACAUAAAAUAGAGGAGCCCCCAGUUGGGAAAACCAAACCCACAAGCACGUCUGGCUGCCCGGCAGCAACGCUCAUGUCCGGAGAAUGUGCAUCAGAGAAAGUUCCUAAGAUGCUGCAGGACCCCUGCCAGCAGGGCUCCACCCUUGGCCGUGGGAAAAUGUCAAGGGAGGAGAAGGUGGGCCCUCUGGUGGCCCAAGCUGGCUGCCUCCCCAGGGCCCCUCCAGCAGUGACUGGGUCAGAGGAGGCCAAGGGGAAGCAAGAAACCCCAGGGAGUGGACACGUAGCUGAGGCAGUAAAGAAGAAAAUUCUGUCCAGGGUGGCCGCCCUGAGGCUGAGAUUGGAAGAGAAAGAAAACGCCAGAAAGAACUCAACCUUUCUUAAAAAGAGUCCUAAACUCGAAACAUCGGUAUCACGCACAGAUGAGAAAAAAGACUCCAAAAGGCCACCUUGCAAAAGCGAAGGGACAGCUCCGGUAUUACUGAAAAAGAUCCAGGCUGAGAUGUUCCCUGACCACUCUGGAAAUGUAAAAUUAAGCUGCCAGUUUGCAGAGAUUCAUGAAGAUUCUACUAUCUGGUGGAUGAAAGAUUCCAAGUCGAUAGCCCAAGUGCAGAGAAGAGCAGGAGACGGCUCCGCUGUGUCCUUGGCCAUCCUUCAAGCCAGUCAGAAGGACCAGGGCCUCUAUUCUUGCUGCAUCAAGAACAGUUUUGGGAAAGUGGCUACGGAAUUUAACCUCACCACAGAAGUUCUCAAACAACUUUCAAGUCACCCAGAUGUUAACGUAUACGAAGAGAUUGAAUUCAGCCAACUCAUCUUCAGAGGAGACUUCCUCAGUGACAGCUACUUCGGGGGCCGUCUGCGCGGUCAGAUCGCCACGGAGGAGUUGCAUUUUGGGGAAGGGGUCCACCGGAAAGCCUUCCGCAGCAAAGUGAUGCAGGGCCUCACACCAGUCUUCAAGCCCGGCCACGCCUGUGUGCUCAAGGUGCACAAUGCCGUUGCCUACGGGACCAGAAACAAUGAUGAGCUCAUCCAGAGGAACUACAAACUCGCCGCCCAGGAAUGCUACGUUCAAAAUACCGCCAGAUACUAUGCCAAGAUCUAUGCCGCUGAAGCGCAGCCUCUGGAAGGCUUUGGAGAAGUGCCAGAGAUCAUUCCUAUUUUUCUUAUCCAUCGACCUGAGAACAAUAUCCCAUACGCAACAGUGGAGGAAGAGCUCAUUGGAGAAUUUGUGAAAUAUUCCAUCAGGGAUGGGAAGGAGAUAAACUUCUUGAGAAGAGAAUCAGAGGCUGGCCAGAAAUGUUGCACCUUCCAGCACUGGGUCUACCAGAAGACAAGUGGCUGCCUCCUGGUCACAGACAUGCAGGCUAACCAAAAACUGGCACUCUAUGUCCUCAAUAGGCACAAAUUCAGACGUACGCAUGAAAAUCCAGAUGUACCAAAAGAUAAAUUAAAAUGUGUAGGAAUGAAGUUGACUGACGUUGGCAUAGCAACAUUGGCUAAAGGACCACUUUGCUGUUUUGCCUGCUUACGCAAAAGAAAAGAACGCUUCUUACGCUUUGAAAAGAAGCUAUUUGUUAUCCUCUCUAGUAAGAACCAGUCCUCACUUCAGGUCGCAUUUAUCCUGGUCGAAGCUCAUGACCCUCUGAGAAGAAGAGGCAGCCUUAACUAGUGGAUGCUGAGUCAAGAGAUGACAGCAUAUUAUAUCAUCAUCUUCCUGGGGUGCUCUCAGGCUCUGAGGGUCAGAAUUCUCAGGACACAGCUUGGAGAAAACUGCAGAAGGGACUAAACUCUCACUCCCUUUCGGAACCAGAUUCCUCAAGAGGCAGCAGGUAGAAAAGCAGCACACUAUCAGAAGCUGAUCCCACUGGGUGGACUUUCCAAAUUCAUCUUUAGGCUGACAAGAGUCAGAAAUAGAAAUCCCCAGGACUUGUACAGUUGGCUGUGAUAACCGAUGUUUAAAAGACUUUCAACAUGCAGUACGUAUGUAAACUCUGGCACUUACUUCUUAACCUCAAGGCAAAAUGGCCCAUAACAACUCUUUUUCAGCAAACUGAGGAAGCUAGAUUCAGGUAAUUUCUAAGAAAGCAGAGGCUCUAAGAGACCCUGGACUGCGGAGUAACGUCACUGCUAAGGACAACAAGAUGAGGUGACACUGACUGGAGCAGGCACAGGCCCAAGGGACCGCCCGGCAGCCUGCUUCACACGCAGUGCAUUUUCCUGACUGCCUCUGUGAUUACGUCGUGACGGUGAUGGAGAGCGGUCAUCAGGAUCGAGAGAAAACAAGAUAGGUGAGUAUUUUAGACAAAGAGUAAACACUGAGGAUUGAUGAGAACUAGGGAACGUUAUUUGGAUGAAAAAAAAAAAAGACAACCAAAAGCCCCAAACAAAUUCUAGACCCAGCACUUUUGAGCUGUCACUGAAAUCAGAUAUUAAGGGAUAGAUGAGCUGAAUUGUCAUUCACAGUUACUGCCUUUCAAGUAUUCAUGGGGGUCUAUUUCGGUAAUUCUUAUCUGUUCUUGGCACAGAAACGAUCUCAGGAUGGGUUUUCUUUCUUAUUUUCAAUACGUUGCCUAAUUUGCAUUUAGUGAAUAUUCUGAUUUUUUGGAAUAUACAGUUUACAAAAAGACAGAAGAAUCCCAGUUCUUAGACAAGAAGCAUUGGAUUUCUCCCCCUAUAAUUACACACUCACUCUCAGAACCCAUCCAAGCGUACUGCUCUCCCAGGCUUUGGCAUAAGUCAUAAAAAGAAAGCCGAGUCUGGACUUGAGGGGCUACAAGAAGGGGGAGGUUUGCCUCUGAGACAUCUGUUACAUUGAGCGUUGGGAAAAAAAUCCCACCAAUAGGUAAAAAUAAUGAACAAUAUCGUUUUUUCUAAUUACUCAAUAUCUAAGUUUUUCUGAUCACUACUGGAUUUUAAAAAAUCAAUAUGAAAAGGGAACAAUCCUCAGCUCUGUAGAAAUCCACCUUCUUUUAGACACCUAGGCCUCUGCACCGCUUCAGAAAACUCCUUUACAAGCACAAACGUUCGUGGCUUCCCACGAGCCACCCAGAGCCAGGGUAAAUUGAGUUUGUAACGCCAAAAGAUCCCAAAUGGAGGCCCUGAAACCACAAUUUUAUUGUCUUAUCUACAACUAGCGGGAGGUGAGAUGACUAGUGUCCCCUGACUGCCACCACGGGUCUAGGACAACACAGGUUAAGAAGGACAGCAGGAUUGCUGGACUCCCGCCCUGCC